AAUCUCUCGCUAGUCUCCUAAAAAGGCGUGGCGCUAGUGAACCCUACGUCAUAGGGGAACAGGAAGAACCCUUCUGUGAAUCGUCUCGCUUUAUCAACCGUCUCUGAUGAUAUCAUUUCCAAAAAUAGCUCGAGGUAGAUUUUGACAUGCAAGAUCUUUUGGACAUAAUGUUGCUAUCUGUAACGUUACACCGUGGGUUCCGGGCAAGUUAAAGUCAUUAAUUUUUGCCAGCUGUAAACAAGGGGCACCUCUUUGUGUAUCGUUUCUAUAGAAACGUCAAGUCAUGGAGAGUCUCGCGAUAAAAGAAGAGAGUGGGUGUGCGGUGCGGAGCUGGUGCUGAAGAUACUAUCACUCUUUUCUGUCAUACUAACGAAAUGGAGGGAUGAAGUGCAACAACAUUAUAGAUUACAGCCUUUCCCCAUCUCAAUGCAGCAUGAAGAUCAGUAUGAGGGCAGCGAUGGUCCAGCAAGGGCUGCUUACAGGUGAUAAGAGGGGAAUAUCACAUCCCUCGCUGUAAUACUGAUUCCACCAGCACCAGAG